rnacentral:rRNA from 1 species
CGCAAGCCUGACGGAGCCAGACCGCGUGGGGGAGGAAGGCCCUUGGGUUGUAAACCCCUUUUCUCAGGGAAGAAACCUGACGGUACCUGAGGAAAAAGCCUCGGCUAACUCCGUGCCAGCAGCCGCGGUAAUACGGAGGAGGCAAGCGUUAUCCGGAAUUACUGGGCGUAAAGCGUCCGUAGGGGGCUCGUCAAGUCUGCUGUCAAAGCUCGGAGCUCAACUCCGAAGGGGCAGUGGAAACUGGUGCGCUAGAGGGCGACAGGGGUAGAGGGAAUUCCCAGUGUAGCGGUGAAAUGCGUAGAGAUUGGGAAGAACACCGGUGGCGAAAGCGCUCUACUGGGUCGCACCUGACCCUCAGGGACGAAAGCUAAGGUAGCG